rnacentral:lncRNA from 1 species
CCUGCAUUAUCUCUAUUUACAGUCACCUCCGAAGGAAGCCCGGUGUCCCUUGGGCCAGAGCUCUCAACAUUAAUAGUAGGGGCAACUUCUGACCCAGGGUGGAGGCCUUCUUUCUCAGAAUCAGGAUCAUCUUCCUCCGACCCUAGCUCGGAUUCCCCUGAAGAAGACUCAGCUGGCCGGUCUAUGUUCCUCCGGGAAUCUCCUCGGGGCAAAGGGAAAUCAUCCUCCCCGUAUAGCACUGACUCGCCAUCUGAGUCCACUUCGCGCCUACGAAGCUUGGCCAAAGGAAUAUCAGGAGCCUGUCUAGCUUCUCUUAAACCGCGAUUGUAGCCAGUUACAUACAU